rnacentral:misc_RNA from 1 species
UCUUACAGCGGCUCACUUUUGGCUGGGCCGGCAUUCCGGGCUCUUUUCCAAAAGUGAGCCGCUGUAAGA